UUCUUGAUGCCAGCCAGGAGUCACCUUCCUAGAUGGUGCCUGACGUGGAGUACAUUUGCGCUGCCUCUCCUGGAAGGAAUCGAUGCUAACCUGCGGCUUUUGGAUCGAUGCUAACCUGCGGCUUCAUCAUUUGGACCUCUGGCCCCUUCUUUGCUAGGAGGCAGGAUUUGAAGCCAAUAUUCACAAGAUGAAGUUUGGAUGAGAAGCAACACAAGAGGGUAUAAAACACUGUCACAUUUUUUCAUGCUGGAAAAUAUUUCUUCCUUAUAGUAUUUCUUUAAAUAGCUCUUCACAAUAAGCAACCUCGGGGAAUAACAAGUGCAAGAAGACCUGGACCCAGCACAGAAAAUGAUCAAUGUGUGGACAUUGCGUCCUUGGACACAUCGCCACCUGCUCUGAUAUAGGAAAAGGAACUGAGUGUGAUAGGCUGAGCCUACGAAGGACGUUCUCAAGAGCCAUGCAGUGAACAGUAAGUUGCUGACUUUUCCAAAGCGUAACUCAGAGUGGCAUCCACACCAAAAGAGCAGCCCUUGCUUUUCCUUGCUCCAAACCACAUUGAGUCAAGCCACAAGUUGUUUGAAAAUGGUCGCAAUUUUCACAUUUUACAUUCCGUCUCCCCUUUUAAUAAAAGUGAGCAUACUUGUUUCAUGACUUCUUAACAAAAAAUAAAAAUUGAUACCAUGUGUUUUAAUAGUUAA